rnacentral:tRNA from 1 species
AAGACAGAAGAACUGCUAACUCUUCACACUACAUCUAAUACAUGUAGCUUUCUUA